rnacentral:rRNA from 1 species
UGGGGAAUCUUGCGCAAUGGGCGAAAGCCUGACGCAGCGACGCCGCGUGGGUGAUGAAGGCCUUCGGGUUGUAAAGCCCUGUGGGGAGAGAAGAAUAAGUUUUGGUUAAUACCCGAAGCGAUGACGGUAUCUCCUUAGCAAGCACCGGCUAACUCUGUGCCAGCAGCCGCGGUAAGACAGAGGGUGCAAACGUUGUUCGGAAUUACUGGGCGUAAAGCGCGUGUAGGCGGCCAAGCAAGUCGGAUGUGAAAGCCCUCGGCUCAACCGGGGAAGUGCACUCGAAACUGCAUGGCUAGAGUCUCGGAGAGGAUCGUGGAAUUCUCGGUGUAGAGGUGAAAUUCGUAGAUAUCGAGAGGAACACCGGUGGCGAAGGCGGCGAUCUGGACGAUGACUGACGCUGAGACGCGAAAGCGUGGGGAGCAAACAG